UACGUAGGUGACCAGCGUUAUCCGGAAUUACUGGGCGUAAAGCGCACGCAGGCGGUCUUGUAAGUUUGACGUGAAAGCUCCCGGCUUAACUGGGAGAGGUCGUUGAAGACUGCAAGACUUGAGGAAAUGAGAGGGGUGUAGAAUUCCCGGUGUAGUGGUGGAAUGCGUAGAUAUCGGGGGGAAUACCAGUGGCGAAAGCGGCACCCUAGCAUCUUUCUGACGCUCAUGUGCGAAAGCGUGGGGAGCGAACGGG
rnacentral:rRNA from 1 species